rnacentral:rRNA from 1 species
UACGUAGGGGGCAAGCGUUGUCCGGAAUCAUUGGGCGUAAAGCGCGUGUAGGCGGCUCGGUAAGUCCGCUCUGAAAGCCCGGGGCUCAACCCCGGGAGGCGGGUGGAUACUGUCUAGCUCGAGUCCGGAAGAGGAGUGUGGAAUUCCUGGUGUAGCGGUGAAAUGCGCAGAUAUCAGGAGGAACACCAAUGGCGAAGGCAGCACUCUGGGACGUGACUGACGCUGAGACGCGAAAGCGUGGGGAGCAAACAGG